rnacentral:tRNA from 1 species
GUUAGCUCAGCUGGUAGAGCAGCGGACUUUUAAUCCGUUGGUCGGCGGUUCGAAUCCGCCAC